AUAUGAUGAUUAGGGCACUGCCUAAGCUUCUUCUUUAGCCUCUCCCAAGUUUCAUGGAACGCUUCAGUAGAAAGCUGUCUGAAGUUACUGAUUUCAUUGCUCAGUUG